UGGGACAGCUCUGAAGGGCAUCC
rnacentral:piRNA from 1 species